UCUGUCGAUGAUGAUAUAAUUUUACCUACAUUGCUUGAUGUUAAAUCAGCUGAGAAUAAAACACAUCCUGAGACGGA